rnacentral:rRNA from 1 species
AAGGUGAAACCGCGAAUGGCUCAUUAAAUCAGUCAUGGUUCCUUAGAACAUACCAUCCUUCUUGGAUAACUGUGGUAAUUCUAGAGCUAAUACAUGCAACAGAGCUCCGACCCUUGUGGAACGAGCGCUUUUAUUAGACCAAAGACCAAUCGGAGCUUCGGCCCCGUCAGUCUGUGGUGACUCUGGAUAACUUUUAGCGGAUCGCAUGGUCAUCGUGCCGGCGACUCCUCUUUCAAAUGUCUGCCUUAUCAACUUUCGAUGGUAGGUUAAUUGCCUACCAUGGUUGUAACGGGUGACGGGGAAUCAGGGUUCGAUUCCGGAGAGGGAGCCUGAGAAACGGCUACCACAUCCAAGGAAGGCAGCAGGCACGCAAAUUACCCACUCCCAGUACGGGGAGGUAGUGACGAAAAAUAACAAUGCGGGACUCUUACGAGGCCCCGUAAUUGGAAUGAGUCCACUUUAAAUCCUUUAACGAGGACCUAUUGGAGGGCAAGUCUGGUGCCAGCAGCCGCGGUAAUUCCAGCUCCAAUAGCGUAUACUAAAGUUGUUGCGGUUAAAAAGCUCGUAGUUGGAUGUCAGUCGCGGGCGGGCGGUCCACCGUUUUGGUGGUUUACUGCUCGUCCCGCGACCUACUAGCCGGCCUCCCCCGCUAUGCUCUUCACCGGGUGUGGCGGGUGGCCGGAAAGUUUACUUUGAAAAAAUUAGAGUGCUCUAAGCAGGUGCUUGCCGCCUGAAUAACACAGCAUGGAAUAAUGGAAUAGGACCUCGGUUCUAUUUUGUUGGUUUUCGGAAUUCCGAGGUAAUGAUUAAUAGGGACAGACGGGGGCA